GUCUUUUCGGGGACAUUUGAUAAAAUUGUAACAAUACAGAGAAGAUUAGCAUAGCCCCUACAUAAGGUUGACAUGCAUAAAUCGAGAAAUGGUCCAAAUUUUU